GAAAUGCGAUAAGGAAUGUGAAGGGCAGAAGGAAGUGAAGAAGAGAAGAGUUGAACGAACAUUGCGCCCGCCAGUAUUCUGGCGGGCAUGCCUGUUCGAGCGUCAUUACAACCCUCAGGCCCCCGGGCCUGGCGUUGGGGAUCGGCGGAAGCCCCCUGCGGGCACAACGCCGUCCCCCAAAUACAGUGGCGGUCCCGCCGCAGCUUCCAUUGCGUAGUAGCUAACACCUCGCAACUGGAGAGCGGCGCGGCCACGCCGUAAAACACCCAACUUCUGAAUGUUGACCUCGAAUCAGGUAGGAAUACCCGCUGAACUUAAGC
rnacentral:misc_RNA from 1 species